rnacentral:rRNA from 1 species
CCUACGGGUGGCUGCAGUGGGGAAUAUUGGACAAUGGGCGAAAGCCUGAUCCAGCCAUGCCGCGUGAGUGAUGAAGGCCUUAGGGUUGUAAAGCUCUUUCGCAGGUGAAGAUAAUGACGGUAACCUGAGAAGAAGCCCCGGCUAACUUCGUGCCAGCAGCCGCGGUAAUACGAAGGGGGCGAGCGUUGUUCGGAAUUACUGGGCGUAAAGCGCACGUAGGCGGACUAUUAAGUCAGGGGUGAAAUCCCGGUGCUCAACCCCGGACCUGCCUUUGAUACUGGUAGUCUCGCGUCCGGAAGAGGUGAGUGGAAUUCCGGGUGUAGAGGUGACAUUCGUAGAUAUUCGGAGGAACCCCAGUGGCGAAGGCGGCUCACUGGUCCGGUACUGACGCUGAGGUGCGAAAGCGUGGGGAGCAAACAGGAUUAGAUACCCGAGUAGUC